GUUGUAUAGUCAAGUAAUUAAGUGCAUGUGGUGGAUGCCUUGGCAGUCAGAGGCGAUGAAAGACGUGAUAGCCUGCGAAAAGCUCCGGGGAGGCGGCAAAUAUCCUUUGAUCCGGAGAUGUCUGAAUGGGGGAACCCACCUACUUUAAGGUAGGUAUUGCAACAUGAAUACAUAGUGUUGCAAGGCGAACGAGGGGAAGUGAAACAUCUCAGUACCCUUAGGAAAAGAAAUCAAUUGAGAUUCCCUCAGUAGCGGCGAGCGAACGGGGAUCAGCCCAUUAAGUUAUGUGUGUUUUAGUGGAACGCUCUGGGAAGUGCGAACGUAGAGGGUGAUAUUCCCGUACACGAAAGGGCACACAUAAUGAUGACGAGUAGGGCGAGGCACGUGAAACCUUGUCUGAAUAUGGGGGGACCAUCCUCCAAGGCUAAAUACUCCUGACUGACCGAUAGUGAACCAGUACCGUGAGGGAAAGGCGAAAAGAACCCCUGUGAGGGGAGUGAAAUAGAUCCUGAAACCGCAUGCAUACAAGCAGUGGGAGCACCUUCGUGGUGUGACUGCGUACCUUUUGUAUAAUGGGUCAGCGACUUAUAUUCAGUAGCAAGGUUAACCGUAUAGGGGAGCCGUAGAGAAAUCGAGUCUUAAUAGGGCGUUUAGUUGCUGGGUAUAGACCCGAAACCAGGCGAUCUAUCCAUGAGCAGGUUGAAGGUUGGGUAACACUAACUGGAGGACCGAACCCACUGUCGUUGAAAAGCCAGGGGAUGACUUGUGGAUAGGGGUGAAAGGCUAAUCAAGCCUGGUGAUAGCUGGUUCUCCCCGAAAGCUAUUUAGGUAGCGCCUCGGACGAAUACCAUAGGGGGUAGAGCACUGUUUCGGCUAGGGGGUCAUCCCGACUUACCAAACCGAUGCAAACUCCGAAUACCUAUGAGUACUAUCCGGGAGACAGACUGCGGGUGCUAACGUCCGUAGUCAAGAGGAAAACAAUCCAGACCGCCAGCUAAGGCCCCAAAAUCAUAGUUAAGUGGGAAACGAUGUGGGAAGGCAUAGACAGCUAGGAGGUUGGCUUANNNNNNNNNNNNNNNNNNNNNNNNNNNNNNNNNNNNNNNNNNNNNNNNNNNNNNNNGAAGCAGCCACCCUUUAAAGAAAGCGUAAUAGCUCACUAGUCGAGUCGGCCUGCGCGGAAGAUGUAACGGGGCUAAAACUAUGUGCCGAAGCUGCGGAUUUGACAUUAGUCAAGUGGUAGGGGAGCGUUCUGUAAGCCGAUGAAGGUGUAUUGAGAAGUNNNNNNNNNNNNNNNNNNNNNNNNNNNNNNNNNNNNNAUGCUGGAGGUAUCAGAAGUGCGAAUGCUGACGUGAGUAACGACAAAACGGGUGAAAAACCCGUUCGCCGAAAGACCAAGGGUUCCAGUCCAACGUUAAUCGGGGCUGGGUGAGUCGACCCCUAAGGCGAGGCCGAAAGGCGUAGUCGAUGGGAAAAUGGUUAAUAUUCCAUUACUUCUGUGUAAUGCGAUGAGAGGACGGAGAAGGCUAAAUCAGCCUGGCGUUGGUUGUCCAGGUGAAAGGAUGUAGGCAUGUAUCUUAGGCAAAUCCGGGGUACUCUAUGCUGAGAUCUGAUAGCAAGCUGUACUUGUACAGCGAAGUGGUUGAUGCCAUGCUUCCAGGAAAAGUCUCUAAGCUUCAGUUACACAGGAAUCGUACCCGAAACCGACACAGGUGGUCAGGUCGAGUAGACCAAGGCGCUUGAGAGAACUCUGCUGAAGGAACUAGGCAAAAUGGUACCGUAACUUCGGGAGAAGGUACGCUGUUGUUGGUGAUGGAACUCGCUUCCUGAGCUGACGACAGCCGCAGAAACCAGGCCGCUGCAACUGUUUAUUAAAAACAUAGCACUCUGCAAACACGAAAGUGGACGUAUAGGGUGUGAUGCCUGCCCGGUGCUGGAAGGUUAAUUGAUGGGGUUAGCGUAAGCGAAGCUCUUGAUCGAAGCCCCAGUAAACGGCGGCCGUAACUAUAACGGUCCUAAGGUAGCGAAAUUCCUUGUCGGGUAAGUUCCGACCUGCACGAAUGGCAUAAUGAUGGCGGCGCUGUCUCCAGCAGAGGCUCAGUGAAAUCGAAAUCGCUGUGAAGAUGCAGUGUACCCGCGGCUAGACGGAAAGACCCCGUGAACCUUUACUGCAGCUUGACACUGAACUUUGACCUUACUUGUGUAGGAUAGGUGGGAGGCUUUGAAGCUGGAACGCUAGUUCCAGUGGAGCCGUCCUUGAAAUACCACCCUGGUAAUGUUGAGGUUCUAACUCUGUCCCGUGAUCCGGGACGAGGACCGUGUCUGGUGGGUAGUUUGACUGGGGCGGUCUCCUCCUAAAGAGUAACGGAGGAGUACGAAGGUGCGCUCAGCGUGGUCGGAAAUCACGCGUAGAGUAUAAAGGCAAAAGCGCGCUUAACUGCGAGACCCACAAGUCGAGCAGGUACGAAAGUAGGUCUUAGUGAUCCGGUGGUUCUGUAUGGAAGGGCCAUCGCUCAACGGAUAAAAGGUACUCUGGGGAUAACAGGCUGAUACCGCCCAAGAGUUCAUAUCGACGGCGGUGUUUGGCACCUCGAUGUCGGCUCAUCUCAUCCUGGGGCUGAAGCAGGUCCCAAGGGUAUGGCUGUUCGCCAUUUAAAGAGGUACGCGAGCUGGGUUUAGAACGUCGUGAGACAGUUCGGUCCCUAUCUACCGUGGGCGCUGGAAAUUUGAGAGGAUCUGCUCCUAGUACGAGAGGACCAGAGUGGACGAACCUCUGGUGUACCGGUUGUGACGCCAGUCGCAUCGCCGGGUAGCUAUGUUCGGAAGGGAUAACCGCUGAAAGCAUCUAAGCGGGAAGCCUACCUCAAGAUAAGAUUUCCCUAGGACUUUAUGUCCUCUAAAGAGCCGUUCGAGACUAGGACGUUGAUAGGUUGGAUGUGGAAGCAUAGUGAUAUGUGAAGCUGACCAAUACUAAUUGCUCGUGAGGCUUGACUAUACAACACCCAAGCAGUUG
rnacentral:rRNA from 1 species